GUCAUCCCAGCUGCUUUGGGAGGCUGAGGCAAGAGGAUCACUGGAGAACAGAAGUUUGAGGCGGUAGUGAGCUGCGAUGAUGCCACUAUCCCCCAGCCUGGGUGCCAGAGAUGGAUGCCUCCAGGAAUGGGGCGUUCUGAGGUCAUUCAGGCUUCUGUGGCCAUUUCCAGACAGGUUCUCGCUCUGCUACCUAGACUGGAGUGCGAGGACACGAUUGUAGCUGACUGCAGCCUCCAACUCCUGGGCUCCAGUGAUCCUCCCACCUCAGCCUCCGAGGAGCUGGGAGUACAGGUGCCAGCCACCACACCUGGCUAAGUUUUUAAAUUGCUCUUCACAGAGGCAGUGUCUCACUGUGUUGCCCAGGCUGGUCUUAAAUGCUUGUCAUGAGCCAUUGCACCCAGACAAAUUGCACACUUUAAUAGGGUGAAUGUUACGGUAUGUGAAUUAUAGCUCAAUUUUUAAAAACAAUCCUUACAUCCCUUGGACAGUUUCAACACACUAUUGAAGCAGUUGUCUUUUAUUUAGGGUCUUUGCAUAUUCAUUAAUAUAUG